GGCAAACUGUCAAAGAGACAAAGAAAUUCGUUUGUAGCUUAAACAUUAUAAAUGCUCGUCCCUUUUUCAACAUUCUCCAGAGUUAAAGGGCCUAAGCGGGAAUUGUACUCAGUGGUAGGCUACUCAGAAGAAAGCAGCAGGUUAAGUUGAAUACAGAAACUUUGCUGACGUUAUGAAUCAUUUCCGUAUUUUCGUUGCGACACUUUUAUUGAUCGUCGUUGUACAAGCGAUAAAGUACAAGACUUUGACUGACGACAAACCACAUUUCUGUUGUCCAGCAAUUGAAAUGUGUUGUCGUGGAGGUUCGAAGAAACGUGAUGAAAUCGUCAGUGAUGAAGAAGUCAACGUUGGGGUUGGUGAAAAUGGAAUUAUUUCAAAGGGAAAAAAACGUGAUGAAAUCUUCAGUGUUGAAGGACACAAAUUAAAGAUGUUGAAAUAUAAACUAUUUUAAGAUGAAUGAUGGAUUUUAGAAUUUUCUUUUACACAGUAUAAAUACAUUUGUCUAGUUACUUGAAAUUUUUUGAUUAAUCGGUAAACCUCUUUGUUAGUUAAUGUAGAAUCAUUUCCUUAAUUAUACACUUAUGCAGCGAAA